CUACGGGCCGCAGCAGUGGGGAAUAUUGCACAAUGGAGGAAACUCUGAUGCAGCAACGCCGCGUGGAGGAUGACACUUUUCGGAGCGUAAACUCCUUUUAUAUAGGAAGAAGAUGACGGUACUAUAUGCAUAAGCGCCGGCUAACUCCGUGCCAGCAGCCGCGGUAAUACGGAGGGCGCAAGCGUUACUUGGAAUCACUGGACGUAAAGAGCGUGUAGGCGGAUUAAAAAGUCAGAAGUGAAAUCCUAUAGCUUAACUAUAGAACUGCUUCUGAAACUCUUAAUCUAGAAUAUGGGAGAGGUAGAUGGAAUUUCUGGUGUAGGGGUAAAAUCCGUAGAGAUCAGAAGGAAUACCGAUUGCGAAGGCGAUCUACUAGAACAUUAUUGACGCUGAGACGCGAAAGCGUGGGGAGCAAACAGGAUUAGAUACCCGAGUAGUC
rnacentral:rRNA from 1 species